GACAAAACAAAAUCUUGUAAAGUUAAUAUCAUCCCUUCCUUCCACUUCUCCAAUACAAUCAUUUAUUCAAUCUGAGAGACAGAGAUGAGAAACCAGCAUGGAGAAACGACGUCGUCUGCGUUGUUCCAGAUCAAACAAGGCCCAUACGGAGGAGCUCACAGAGCUUUUGCGGCCACGGUCAUGGCUGGAAUUUCUCUGAUUUGGGCUUACCGAGCCGCCGUGAUGCCGCCCGCCGGCCAAUCUGGGCGGUGGCCUUGGAUCGGAAUGUUUAUCUCCGAAAUUCUAUUUGGCCUCUAUUGGAUUCUUUCUCAGUCUGUUCGUUGGCGUAUCACUUACAACUUUCCCUCCAAACAACAACUCUCUAUAAGGUACAACGACGACCAAUUACCAAAUGUCGACAUUUUCAUUUGCACAGCCGACCCCAUUAUCGAACCGCCAGUCUUGGUCAUCAACACCGUCUUAUCCGCUAUGGCCUUCGAUUACCCGACUGACAAACUGGCCAUUUAUCUCUCCGACGAUGGCGGCUCCGACUUCACAUUCUACGCUCUCAUUGAAGCUUCAAAUUUCGCCAAGCAUUGGUUGCCCUUUUGUAGAAAUUUCAUGGUCGAGCCUAGGUCUCCGGAGGCCUACUUUUCUCUCCAUUCUGCCCUUCCUCAUCGUUCUCAAGAGUUUGUCGACAUGAAGAAACUGUUUGAUAAAAUGAAGG
rnacentral:misc_RNA from 1 species